AGAUUUUAGUAAUAAUUUUCAAUGUGUAGGAUGGUUUUAUUUCCUUUGUUGGGUGUUACAUAAAAACAACCAUAAUUUCUCUCAUACAUGCAAAGUAUUGAACAGCAUUGAACAACUAACAUUGCUGUUGUUUCUGUCCUCCCACACCUACUGCUUUUAUCCAUCAGAUGAAGAUUGACUGUCCUCUAGUCCCAUUCUCUACAGCUUUGGCCUCAGUGACACUCCACCACAAGGAGAAGCAGGAACCAGCACAAAGAUGUCCUCAGCAGGCAUCUUCCAGAGAGCUCACUGAUGAAUGAAUCACAUCUGUCUGUGAGAGUGAAUACAAACCCAAUUUAUCAUGCAUUGUUUUUGUAACUGAACAAGCUGUACAUUCUCAUGUGAUUUGGAUUAUAUGCAUGUCUAUAAAUUUUAUGAGUUGCCUGUAUUCAGUUAAAUACAGCAGUCAGGCAGACCUACAUGGCUGUAAGUACAUAAAAAGUUCAAAUGGUAAGAAGAGCAACCGUCUGUUAUUUAGAAGUUGAAUUUAAACCAACUUGUUCCAUCUGCUUUGUCUUUUAAAAGUUGUAUAAAUACCAUUACAUGAAAAAAGCUCAAAGUGGUCAACCACUAAUCUGAAAAUGUCACAAGUUUAUAGUCAGCUGUGAAAGACACGUGCAAAUUUUGAUACUGAGUAUGUCACUAACUGAACUGUGGUCUAGUACCCAGAAAGAAUAUCUGGUGUCUUGUUUCAUGCUGCAGCAAUAUUUGUUCAAUAUAGUCAAAGAAAAUGAAGUUGCUUUCUACUUUUGUUUGGUCAGACUGCGUAAAAACUGAGUGCGUGAGAGCAGCUCAGCUCC